CCUCUGUGAGCCCCAGGGGCUGAUGGGAGGUUGGAGGAGGCGUUAGAAACCACGUGACCCCGGUCUGAUCUCACAGCUCGUCCUUGUUUGGCCUCAGCUGCAUCAGAGCUCCACUUCUCCUCAGGUUCCCCAGAGGAAACACCGCUGCACAAAAUGCUUCUCCUCCCAGCUGCUGCUCUGUGCUGUCUGUGUUCAGCCAUGGUUGCCACGGCAGCAGAGGAGCUGAUUCAGGACCAGUUAUCAUUGACCAGGAGAGUUGGUCAGUCAGCCUCUUUCCCCUGUGAAAAUACUCAGGGGUGUUACAAUGAUUAUGUUUACUGGUACCAGAAGAAAGAAACAUUCACUCUGAUUCUGCUUUUUGAUACGAGUACUGGUGCUGUAUAUAAAGGUUAUAAUCAUCCUCAGGAAGAUGAUUUCUCAGCUGUUAAUAUCCAGAACGGCUGUGAGUUGAAGAUCGACAAAGUUAAACUCUCUCAUUCAGCCUCCUACUACUGCAGCUGUCUGAAGCGUGAUCCCCACAGUGAGAAAAGAUCCCUGCAGCCUGAACAAAAACCUUCAGAUGAACUGAUGUCAAACAGUGUUAGUGACAGGAAGACAGCAGGAAACCACAGCCCAGGGUCACAGAUUUCACCUCCAGCUCAGACUCUUGUUCUGGACUCUUCUCUGAUAUUGAUUCAUAUUUGGAUGAGAUAUUUCAGCAGCUUUCCUGUUGGUCCACACAGUGAGGACGAAGAAGACACACAGGAGCACAAUAAGAAAACAAGAGGAGGAACUGAAUGAAUCAAAUCCUGAUGAAGAGACCUGACAGACCUGCUCCACCAGAGUCACAAUGUGGUCCAGGAGGAAGGACCAAAGAAGAAGAGACAGUGAUGUUGAUGUGGACAUCAGCUGAAAUAUGAUCCUGGUUCAUAAUGUGGACUCGUUCAGCUCAGCUGACACAUUCAACAGCAGACAGGUUUUUGUAUCAGUCUCUGUCACUGUGGGAGGAAACUGGUACCUCAUCUUUGGCUCUGGAACUAAACUGUAUGUAACAGAUGAGCCGGUAGUGAAGCCCGUGGUGAGCGUGUACCCGGCAGCAUCCAGAGCCCACCUGGAGGGGAAGAGCUCCCUGCUGUGUCUGGCCUCAGCCAUGUCUCCUCCUCUGGUCCAGUUCUCCUGGAAAAGACAGAAGGAGGACGGUCCUCUGGAGGAGCUGCCCCCUGCCGAGGGAGAGCAGCUGCAGCUCACACAGUUGGGACGGGGACGCUCCGCCGCCAUCUUGACCGUCCGUCAGCCAGAGAGCGCCACGUAUAAAUACAUCUGCUCCGUCAGGCACGAGGGCGGCACAGCGGAGGGCCCGACACAACAAGGUGACCGAUUCAGGCUGACUGAUUCAGCUCCACGUGGAGACGCUGACAUUUCUCACUGCAGCUCCAAACAUUGGACUCCUUUUGUGUUUCAGAGGUUCCAGCUCCAGCAGCCUCCUGUCCUCCAGAGACAGAGCCAGCAGUCCUGGCAGCUCAGCAGCAAGCUGACUGUAAGAUCACCUGCUCCUCACUGGAUCUUAGAGUCUGAGGUCAAAGGUCAGAGACAGUGGACAGACUCUGUGAUUCCUUUUCUGUUGCAGUGCUUCCCCUGGAUCCUCUCCAGCCUCAGAGCAGGGUGAAGCUGCUCUGUCUGCUCUACACAGUGCUGAUAGUGAAGAGUCUGGUGUACUGCUGUGGACUCUCUCUGCUGAUGAGCCUCAGAGACGACGGACCGUCCACCAACUACACUGACUGACUUCAUCUCAGUCAUCACAAUUUUCCCUCCCAUGUAUGUUGUUCUUCACAGCUUAGAUAGAAUCAGCUGCUUCUCACACGUUUCCUUCUUCUUUGUGUUUUUCUCCUCCUGUGUGUCGUGUUAGUGCAGAUUCAGCUGACAGACACUUUCAAUAAAACCAGAUCAGAUCUCACUCUGUCACUUUCUGCAGGUUUUUUAUUGAAAACUUUCUGCAGUUUCAUGAAAACACGACGGUGUGAUUCAUAUAUAUGUUAGACAGUUUCAACUCUGAACUUUACUUUUGUUUUCAUGCUGAAAAUCCAACUUGAAUAAAAAGAUGUGAAUCAAUCUCCAUUUCUGGUCUUUUUGUCUCCAUCACAGAAUGAUCACAUCAGAUUAUUUCAUUGUCAGCAGGAAAACAAUCAACACAUUUUGUGAUGUACAGUUGUGAACAGCCGUGUUAGCAAACGGAGCCCCGACGUGGUCGUGUAUGAAACUGUGACCUACGAAGACGGCUUCUCUUCUCCCGUCGGUCCAAAUCAUUCAGCUUUUUCUCAUUUUGUCGGUCAGUCUCAGGCCACUCUGAAAACACAGCAGCUGAUUCAGAGAGAGGAAG
ensembl:lncRNA